rnacentral:lncRNA from 1 species
AUCCUAUUUUCAUGCACCAUUUGUAAGCAAGAGACUGAAUGGUUUACAAAAUUAAAAAUCAGGACGGUGUCCCGUUAAACCAAAAAGAACUAAACUGGAUGAAUAUUGUAGGAGAAAUCUAGAGGAAAGUUUUGAUUUGUGAAAUUGGUUUUCCUGAACAGAUGUACAUUCAUCCUGCAGGAAAGAUUUAUAACUGUCCACCACCAACUGACGAGCUAAUGUUGAGCUUCACAGAUGGAAUUACUCAAACACCAUAAAUGCCUAUGUUUUCAGCACAGAUUUCACAAAUCAUGACACAGCUGUGCAUUUUUAUGCCCCACCUACGAUAGUAGGGGGCAUUAUGUUUUCUGGUCUGUGCGUCCGUUCGUCUGUUCGUCCGUUCGUCCGUCCGUCUGUCCCUCUUCAGGUUAAAGUUUUUGGUCAAGGUAGUUUUUGAUGAAGUUGAAGUCCAAUCGACUUCAAACUUGGUACACA